CUACGUGCCAGCAGCCGCGGUAAUACGUAGGGUGCGAGCGUUAAUCGGAAUUACUGGGCGUAAAGCGAGCGCAGACGGUCACUUAAGCAGGAUGUGAAAUCCCCGGGCUCAACCUGGGAACUGCGUUCUGAACUGGGUGACUAGAGUGUGUCAGAGGGAGGUAGAAUUCCACGUGUAGCAGUGAAAUGCGUAGAGAUGUGGAGGAAUACCGAUGGCGAAGGCAGCCUCCUGGGGUAACACUGACGUUCAUGCUCGAAAGCGUGGGUAGCAAACAGGAUUAGAUACCCUGGUAGUCCACGCCCUAAACGAUGUCAAUUAGCUGUUGGGCAACUUGAUUGCUUAGUAGCGUAGCUAACGCGUGAAAUUGACCGCCUGGGGAGUACGGUCGCAAGAUUAAAACUCAAAGGAAUUGACGGGGACCCGCACAAGCAGCGGAGCAUGUGGUUUAAUUCGAAGCAACGCGAAGAACCUUACCAAGACUUGACAUCCC
rnacentral:rRNA from 1 species